AACUCCUUACGUAUCUUUCACCCU
rnacentral:siRNA from 1 species